UACGUAGGUGGCGAGCGUUGUCCGGAUUUACUGGGCGUAAAGAGCGCGCAGGCGGUCGUUCAAGUCGCGUGUGAAAGCCCCCCGGCUCAACUGGGGAGGGUCACGCGAUACUGAUCGACUCGAAGGCAGGGAGAGGGAAGUGGAAUUCCCGGUGUAGUGGUGAAAUGCGUAGAUAUCGGGAGGAACACCAGUGGCGAAGGCGGCUUCCUCGGCCUGUUCUUGACGCUGAGGC
rnacentral:rRNA from 1 species